rnacentral:lncRNA from 1 species
UUCCAGUAGGACACACCUGGCAAUGGAUGUGACAUUCAGCGCUGCCCAGGUUUCUUCCACUUGGAGGAGGCAAAUUGGUGAAUGGAAGGAGGCAAUCCUUUGGUAGUGGGAUGCUAAGGAGCAAUUAUAAGGCAAGUUUGCUUGCUUGAAGGCUGCUGGUAUCUGUGGUUGGAAGCUGGUGGACGUCUCAUGAUGAACAGUAGCUUCUGGCACAAUGGGAUACUGUGAUGGACACCAGAGUGCAUGGAAACACAGUUUCCCUUCCCGUCGCAGUGGUACCUAUUUAUCUACUCGCACUGGUGUGCUUUUGACCUUCUAGGUUGUCAGGAACUGGGACAGAGCAACGUGAGCUCACUGCUUCGCAGGGAUUUGAACCGCCAACCUUCCGAUUGGCAAGCCCUGGCUUCUGUCAUGGUGUCCUGUUGCACCAGAAGUGGUUUAGUCCUGCUGGCCACAUGACUGGAAAACUGUCUGUGGACAAACACUGUCUCCCUCGGCCUGAAAGCGAGCUAGUCGAAUUCAACUGGACUUAAGCAUCCAAGGGUCCUUUACCUUUACCUUUACCACACCGAUUCUUUUUAAGUGCUUUGGGAUAUUUGGAGUAGGCUCUCCGAGUGUGGAAUGCUCUCCCCGGGAAGUCUGCCUGGUGCCUUCAUUAUACAGUGGAACCUUGCUUGUCGAACGCUUCGGAAGCUGAACAAUUCAGAACCCAAACGCUCGAAAGGCUUCCAAGGCACAUUUCUCCAUCUUUUAAAAAUUUGCCAACCAGCAAUUGCGCCUCGGUUGUCAAACAUUUCGGAAGUUGAACAGUCUUCGGAACAGGUUAUGUUCAACAACUGAUGUUCCACUGUACACCUUUAGGAACCAGGCAAAAAAGUUUCUUUUUAACCAGGCCUUUGGUUGCUUGGAUUGACAUCCUAUGUCCCUUUAAAAUGUGGGGGGUUGGGGGGUGUUAUUGGGUUGUUGUUUUUAUAUUGAUUAUGUAUUUUGUGGUUUUAUAUUUUGAUUUUAUUCUGUGAACUUCCCUGAGACCUCCGGGUAUCGGGCAGUAUAUAAAAUCUAUUAUUAUUAUUAUUAUUAUUAUUAGGCAGUUGCUAUUGGUGUUAGACACUGCUUGUACUUCAGCACUGAGCAGUGUGGAAAAUGCAGCUAAAGCAAAUAUUUCAGAUUGGGUCAUCAUGACUUGAACAGCCCUCUGAUAAUGAAGGAAAGGCUUUUGCCGGGAAAUUACGGUGAGGAAGGCUGUGGACACUGGAGAUCCGAGAUGGAAAAUCGUCAUGGAAGAAUAGCUAUAUAAUUCUGAAAUAGGAAUGUGUGUUGUCUAUCUAUCCUUUGGACACAGAGCAUAACCUUUGGAAAUGAAACUAAAUUCAAUGUUUUCCUUCUGUCUGGAAGCAGAUUAUCUCUUUAUGUUUAGAAAUACUACAUGGAGGAAAGUUCUGAUUUUCUCAGAGGAAAGCUGGCUAAUUUUGUAAAGAAGAACCCCAUAUAUCUGCUGAGAAGUCCCUUCGCAGUCAUCUGUGCACAUCUGUUAUCCAGACUUUAUUGGAAAUAAACGGGAGGUGGCCGGUGGAUGGGGAAAAUGUAUUUGUGAAUACUUUGCCAGUCUUCCUCUCCCAGUUCACAGAUAAUUCAUCCGAGUUUCCAUCAGCAAUACAAAUCUCCUAGAUUAGACAGAGACAGACCAAGAGCUAGAACAGAGGCAAGGGAACGAAUGGGAGACAGACUGUCUGAUAUGAGUGGCAAAUGGAUGUUUUUUCGUUUGUACUUAUGUCAAAAGCCAC